rnacentral:tRNA from 1 species
GCCGGAUUAGCUCAGUGGUAGAGCAACCGCCUUGUAAGCGGUAGGUCGUCGGUUCAAGCCCGACAUCCGGCU